AGACGGUAGCCUGGCGUGCCCAAGGCCUGUGUAGACGCUAGCCUGGCGUGCCCAAGGCCUGUGUAGACGGUAGCCUGGCGUGUCCAAGGCCUGUGUAGACGGUAGCCUGGCGUGCCCAAGGCCUGUGUCUGCCCGCCAGCUUAGUUAUACCGGUGUAAGAAUCCAUUUCUCUUUUUUAUACAAUUUUAGGAAGGUCACUUGAAGGGUGUGAGUACUGUCCUUGGGGGGGGGGGGGGUAUACCUUUAUUCCUAAGUCAAAUAUAUCAUAGCCGGGGAGGGUCGACUUGUACAUGAGACGAGCUUCACACUAUGUUAGCUAUCGGUAUCAACUUCGAGGUUCGUAAAACAUCAUUUAGCAUUAAGUUCUCACUCAUUAACACGUGUACUGUUCAAUCGUUCAUGGGGUUCGUUCACGGGGCGACGAGGGAGCACACUCAUGUUUUGCACGCUACACAGAACAGUGACUAAUGGCCGCUUUCACAGUCAUUUUGCUUGUUUCGAUCGUUAGCAAUGGCUGUUAUCGCCGCUACAGUAUUUCCAUGUCAAACUGUCCGAUGGGGUAGUGGCGGCUGCAGGGUUAGCCAGGCCCCGCACGGUUCCUCUGCAGCUACCCACCCCAUAGGCCAGCUUCACGUGGAAAACUACAGCGUCGAUCCCCGCCAUUGGUAACGAUCAAAACUAACAAGGUGACCGUGAAGGCGGCCCUAAGCCCUGCCUGAAGUGGCCGCCGUGUGAGUCUGCGGGACAGACUCGAUGGUGCUGUCUGUGGGGCUUUGGAAAUAAACCUCUCCACUCUGCAUACCAGUCAUUAUCAGCCAUACCAGCGGACCAGAAGAGGCUUGAGUGCACGCUGGUAUUGUAUUCUUAAGGAGUCAGCCAAGGGGGUGACAUCGACCAUUGUAUCUUUUUAAUUUCCUGGUCCUCCCAAAUUUUUUAUACAACAAAGGAGACAGCUCAAGGCCACAAAUAAAGGAAACAAUAAUAAAACAAAAGCCCGCUACUCGCUGCUCCUAAAGAAGAAUCCAAAGAGGUGGCCGAAAGAGAGGUCAGUUUCGGGAGGAGAGGCGUCCAUGUGUCUUUUGUUGUAUAUCACACUCUGUACUGCCAGGGGGUUGGAAUGACAGGCUCCUCCCUUCUCCCUUGUUGUAUAAUCACACUCUGUAUUGCCAGGGGGUUGGAAUGACAGACUCCUCCCUUCUCCCUUGUUGUAUAAUCACACUCUGUACUGCCAGGGGGUUGGGGUGACAGGCUCCUCCCUUCUCCCUUGUUGUAUAAUCACACUCUGUAUUGCCAGGGGGUUGGGAUGGCAGGCUCCUCCCUUCUCCCUUGUUGUAUAAUCACACUCUGUAUUGCCAGGGGGUUGGGGUGGCAUGCUCCUCCCUUCUCCCUUGUUGUAUAAUCACACUCUGUAUUGCCAGGGGGUUGGGAUGACAGGCUCCUCCCUUCUCCCUUGUUGUAUAAUCACACUCUGUACUGCCAGGGGGUUGGGAUGACAGGCUCCUCCCUUCUCCUUGUUCUUUACUUGCAACAAUAAACUAUCGAGCAAUCACCAGAGUGGGGCACACGGCAAAGCACCAGCCGAUUCUUGCCGCUGGAACUUAUGGAACUCUCAACAAUCACUGUGUUUUCUUCUUUCAAAAACUGUAAUUUAUUGGCAGGAAAUUCCCUUCGCGCAGCUAAGCAGGUACUCAGCAAACAUUGUAAUAUAAACAGAAUUUCUAAAAAAAAGUCCAGUUCUGCGUCAUUUUGCAGUUCAAGAAUUUAAUGAAGAUAUAUUUCCAAGCUCUCCUUUAUUUUAAUCUCGUUUACCAGUCAAUAAAGCAACGAGAACUAUUA